UGCAAAUCGUUCGUCAUACUUGGGUAUAGGGGCGAAAGACUAAUCGAACCAUCUAGUAGCUGGUUCCCUCCGAAGUUUCCCACAGGAUAGCUGGAGUUGCACAGUUUUAUCAGGUAAAGCGAAUGAUUAGAGGAAGUGGGGGCCUGCUUUGCCUGACCUAUGCUGAAAAUUUAAAUGGGUAAGAUGCAAUCGUU
rnacentral:rRNA from 1 species